rnacentral:lncRNA from 1 species
AGGUGGGAGAGAACCACUUAUAAGCUUGUCUUGUAUCUUCAGCUUGUCAUCGGCCUUUGAGAAUAAUUGCAGCCUUACAUCUUACUUUAGGGAUGGGGUGGCCUUCCCUGCUUGGUGAGGCACCUGUUUCAGUAUUAUCUAAAUGUCUUGCUGUCUUUCUCAGAUUGGCUUGUUUUUUGUGCAAGUUUGACUCUAUGUGAUGGCUCAAUUGAACAGUGUGGAUGACAGCCUUGCAGAUAGCUGUCGUUCCAGUCUUCUCUCCCUGAGCUGGUGGUUGUAUUUGUAUACAGACUAGCUUCUGGGGUAACACUGUCACCAAUACUUCAUGGUAUAUAAAGCAAUUCGUCAUUAUCAGCUUACAGGGUUUGUUCUGGUACCACUUCUCAAAGAAUCCAUUUCUGCCUUAAUUUGUGUCUGUUGAAAUGUGUAUUUAAUGAUAGAAAAGUUUUAAAAGAGGGAAAUUUCUGAUUCAAGCUCUUUCUUUGGAAAUCAUCUGACCCAUUUUCUGUUCUGUUGUGUUUCUCCACUGCCUGGAAAUGAAGCCGUGCAUUUUUGGCAGUUUUCUGGGCAGCUAUUACAAAGGCAUGGUAGUCUCUGUCUUUUUUUUAUAUUAUUAUUAUUUUUAACUGUAUUCACAUGGAAAAAAAUCAAGCCUUUUCUGAUAGUACAAGAAAAAGAACCCAAGAUGCUCUACUUCUCUUGGAAUAAGGUAGCAGGUAAAUGAGAUGAAUGGGCUUGAUGAGGGAAGCAGUUUAGAGGCCAGCCUGUAAUAAUGCAGACACUCUGGAGGAGCCAUCCCUUUUUGUCUGAGGAAGCUCGUUCCCGGGCCCUCUUUCCUGCUCUGACGAAAGGCAGAUGGAAUUACCCGGCCUGUGCUUCUCCUGGGGCCAUUAUGGAGGCAAAGCGAGAUGACUGAUGCUCAAACAUGUUCAAUAGUAAAAGCUUUCUGGGUAGAGAAGCCAUUAUUAUUUUAUCUCCAAGUACUUUUAGGGGAUUAAUAAUUUAUUUAGCUCACUAAGUUCGUCCUCUGAGGCCAACUGUUCCUAUUGUCUGGUGCCCGAGUCAGUCCUGAGGCCUGGCGGUAUUGCAGAGGGACGGAGUCUAAUGAGCCUGCCCCUCUGUGGAGUUUACUGUGUUCGUCAUUGCCAAAACACCUGUGACCUUUUAGCUGUAAGACGAAAGUGGAUUUUUUUUUUUCUGAUGAUGGUUUUGGAGAUUCCGACCCCAAAUCUGGUUGCUUCAUAGCUUUAGACCCAUGAUAUGGCUGCACAGCAUAGUAGGAAUCUGUGGUGAAGGAAACCUCUUAAGUUGGGGUCAGAAAGGAAGAUGACCUAAAAGUGUUCUCUCACCUUUCAGUACUGUGGUCUUGGGGACUAAGUUUUUAAUGCUUGCAUAGUGUAGGGGCACAGACCAUCUCAUCUUUCCUCUUUCUUCCCUCUCUUCUUUCUUUUUUCCUUUGUUUUUUAAGGGACAUGGUCUCAUUAUGUAGCGGAUGCUCACUUACACCUCACUGUAAACUUCUUGCCUCAGUCUCCUCAGUGUGAGAUUACAAGUGUACGCAGCAUCACGUCUAAAGCAACCAUAGUCCGUAUUAAUGUCUUCUGUGAUCUUUUUUGCUUGAUUGCUAAAUUGCCUGCUUUAAAAAAAAUUUUUUUUUAUUGUCUGUCUUUAUAACCUGGGUUGGCAUUGAAUUCUUGAGUCUCUUGCUUCAUUUUCCAGAGUGCUGCCAUUUUAGGUGUAUACCACCAAGUCCAGUUUCACAGGACUAUCUUGUUACGUAUCUCAUUAGUGAAAACAGAUAAUAAUGAAGUCGACUACUUUGCCUGCUGAGAAACUGUUCAUCUUAAAGCUCACAUUUCUGUAAAUCUCUCUAUGAAGCUUAAAGUUUUGAGUUAAUGGGGUUUUCAAAAAUAGACAAUGUAGCUCUGUCUCCUGUCACCAGUGUGGGGGCUUACACUGAGGAAGAUGUAAUAGCUUGCCUAAUGUGUGCAUGUUAAAAUGGGAUUUGUCCCUUGAUUCUCCCAGUAGACUAUAGCCCACCUUGCACUGCCUUUUUCUCUAUCUCUAUUAUCUUAACUAAGGCAUCCUCAAGGCCCUGUAACACAGUUGGGUGCCACCAAGAUGAACUCACAGAGAAAGUUUUGGAACUGUUUAGAGUAGCACAAGAUUUGGAUUGGAAUUUGGAGCUGGAAAGGAGCUUACUAGUCACCAUUGGACAGAGAACUCAAUGCAGCUCAGAGAGGAAAGUCAUGGCAGAUGCAUCAAUAGGAUGGUUCGGGUUUAUGAACGCUUGCUGAAGACUAGCCCUUGAGCUAGGCACGCUAGAAAUGUUGACAGAGCUUGUAAAGUUAGACCUUUUUCUUAUGUCUGUUAUAUGUACAGUCAUCCGGUAAAAUCCCUUGUGAUCUGUCCUCCUCAGGAUACUUGGAAAGCUUCCAGGUCAUUAGGGCACGUCCUUACCUGGAUCUGUCAGGUUAAGACUUUAUGCAGUGGGACCCUUUUCUUGUUGGUAUUUGUGUGGAUGAUUUAAAAGUGGUGGUAGGGCCUCCAGCACACAAGGAGACCAUGGGACCAGUCUCUACUGGCAGUCAAGGUGUUCUUCACUAGCAGUGUGUACCCCAAAGGAUUGUACUCCUUACCAAUGCCCUUGAUAAAUUUAGAAUUAAGACUUGGAGGAGAGGAGGGAGGGGGAAGCUGUGAUAGGGAUGUAAAGUAAAUAAAUGAAUUAGUUAAUG